rnacentral:rRNA from 1 species
AACCUGGUUGAUCCUGCCAGUAGUCAUAUGCUUGUCUCAAAGAUUAAGCCAUGCAUGUCUCAGCCUAAGCUUGUUAAACGGCAAUGCUGCGAAUGGCUCAUUAAAACAGUUAGAUUGUCUUUGGUGGUCAAUCCUUACACGGAUAACUGUGGUAAUUCUAGAGCUAAUACAUGCACCAAAGCCCGACUUCUCGGAAGGGUUGUGUUUAUUAGUUACAGAACCAACCCAGGCUUGCCUGGUCUUGUGGUGAUUCAUAAUAACCGAACGAAUCGCGUAGCAUCCGCUGGCGAUAUACCAUAUCACUUUCUGAC